rnacentral:lncRNA from 1 species
UAAACUUUAUAGCGUUCGUAAACGUAAGAAACAGGUUGCUAAUGAGCGAUGAGCAGAUGAAUCGAAUGACCUAGUCAUCACUCCAUAUUAUUUCUUAAACCAAUUUUUCCUUAACCAUUUUAUUUUAACUUGCAAAUCAAACCAAUUGCCUCAGUGCACCCCCCAUUUUACAAACAUCCUUAAUAAUAACGUUACUACCGAGUAGAAGUUGAAACAGUCCCUGUGGAAACGAAUCUUAUAAAUUUUAUUACUUCGAUAUAAGUUAGUACACUUGCUAAUUAUCUAUCAAGUUUUUGGCGCCGCUGCCGGGGACUGUUGAAUCAUUUCAGCUUGGAAAUUUCGUUAUUGUUUAGGAUUUCUGUCAUAUAAUUUAUUUGUCUAUAUUUUAAAAAAAUUGAAAAAAAAUAUAUAUUAUUUAUGCUCUUCAUGUUUAUCUCAUUGUACUUUGCUGCUAAAAAGUUUAUCCAAGUUUUGCAGCUAUGAUAAACAGGUUAGUAGACAGGUUACACCUUUAUGACACAGAGGAGAUUGUUACGUUGGAGUAUGAAAAUUAUCUGCUUUCUUGGAAGAUAAAACAAUGGGACAAUCAAAUCUCAAGAUUAAAUGCGAGAUGUGAUCUUCACGAGGCGAAUCAUCAGGGUACAGAUUGUGAAGGGCUGAAAGAGCUUAUCAACAUCGAUUACAAUACUCAACUUCAAAAUAUUUUAGAUGAUUUCUUGAUAUUAAAUCAAGUUCCAUUUGAGAAAUUUGAAGUUCAGUGUGGUGAUCUUGUUCGGAAAGCGAAUGAGUGUGAGAAGCAGCUGGUUGAGAUGGAGACUGAGUGUCAUGUUGUGGUGGAAGAAAAUGCACAAGUGAGGAGUGUUCGUCUCUAUUUGAAGUCUCAACCAACAGGGUUGAAAGAAACCAUUCCUUUGCAAAGGUAUAUCUAUUCUUCUUUAUGGAGGGAUAACUCAAAUGUCAAAAGUUUAGCAGUUGGAUCAUGGGAGCAUCUGCUACUUUGUAUGAAGUUCAUGGAAUUCCUACCAAAGAAGAGGAAUAAGAAAGAUGACAUAUUCUUUCUUUCAUAUCUGCCACCCUAACAAUGUUUGAGGCGUUAAGCUUAAUGACGUAAAAGAAAGCGCUUGAUGGGAGGCAACCCAUUAUAUUUUCUAAUUUCAUUUAUUUGGCUGGUAUUUCUUUUCAAAAGUAAAAUAAAAUAUGUGUGUGACUGCUGCUAGUGUUAUGAAUUAUGUAUUCCCCCAUGUUUUGUAAUUGCAUAUGCACUUGUUUAUUAUUAAUGAAUUUGCUUUGUCUUGAGUUUUACUAGUCAGGUAGCAUUUUUUUCAUCAAUGGUGUAUCAAAAGUUCAAGGAGGUAGAGCUUGCAUGAGGUUCCGUUGGUGAAGUGUACGAUAGUGUGAAUGUUUAGGUAACCACAACUUCCAUAAACCUCAGCUAGUAAGUUCUAAAGCCAAAUCUUUGUUUUACAAUUUUCACAAAUAUGAGUGUUCCAUGUUGAUACUAUUUCUGGGACUUGCAAAUUUUCUUUAUGUCAAUUGGUUACAUUUCUUACACACUAAGGCAAAGUGCUUGUACCUUGAGCUUUCGAAGCCUACCUGUUACAUUGAAUAUUUCCAUUUUUAAGCCAACUUUGAGCCAAUAGGUUAGACCCCGUUGUUUCGGUGACAAACCAUAUUACAAGCCUAUAGACCUUAAGAUUAUUAACCCAAGUUUUGUUGGAGUUAGGCAUUGUUAUGUGUUUGCAAAAGUCUAAGUUUGGGGUGAGGGAUAUAGAGAACAUGAGUAAAUAGAUCACAUUAUCUCAAUUGAAAAAAAAUAAAAAAAUUUCAAUCAAGUUGAUACAAAAAAAAAAAAAUCAAUCAACUCAAAAAAAAAAGUGUGUGUAUACAGUUAUGAAAUGAAUUGAGACAAAGACUUGUUAAUUGAGUGAUCCAGAACUUCUGAUGUGUACUCUAGUUCUCAAAUUUGAGCAAAUCAUUCCAGGUUGUGGUAUUCCAGUUGCCGAAGUAAGUAGGAAAUGCUUAACUCCAAUUUGUUAUUUUAAGCCUACUUCCCAAAUAAUCCCACCUGUAACCUUAGCCCCGUUACACCAUGAAAGUCCUUAAAAGUGUGUAUUGUGAUGUAACUUUGAUUGAUGUUUAGAAGUUUUUCAAGUUUUGGUAAUAUAGUGAUUAGUAUGUCGACUUGUGUACCCUUUUAUCCAUGAUAUUGCGUGAAGUUGUGGAAUGGAUGUUCUAGCAAGCAAGUUAGCCCACUAACGCUAACAAGAAGAUGAACUUUUGAUAUUACCAUUGUUGAGGUAAAUGUUAUUUUUCUGUUAAUUUUCAUUUUAAAGUAAGUUCCUUGAGGACAAGUAACGAUGCAAGUUUGGGGUUGUGAUGACACUAGGUCAUAUAUCACUUUUGUUAUAGUUUUUAUGUAAUUUUGGUUGAGUUCGGGUGAUUUUGCAUGAGAUAGAAGCUUCAAAUGACACAUUUGAUGUUGGCAAACAAAUAAGAAAUCGUGCUCCGAUUUACAGCAUCGUGCUCCGAUUUUACAGCAAAUUUGAGACAUUUUGUCUCGUAAAAAAUCGUGCUCCGAUGGAACCAAAUCGGGCUACGAUUUGGCAGACGCUCCAGCCAGGAUAUGACUUUAAUGAAGCCAUCGUGCUCCGAUUUACAGCAUCUGAGAAUUUUCCUAUAAAAGGGAAGUUGUUUUCUGAGCCAAGGGUGGAAAAAUUUGGAGAAAGAAACUGACUUUUGGAGCUGGAGAUCUGGAGAGAAGGUGUGAGACCAUCGAAACUCAUAUCCGGUUACCAAUUUCAUGUAAUGAAUCCUUCUUUUACAUUAGUUAUUUGUGCUUUAGUCAUGAGUAGCUAGAUCCUUUGUGAUUAGGUCAAGAGAUGAUUUUGUUCUAGCUCAUGUUUAUGUAACCUGCAACUCUUAAUCUUUAUGAAUGCCAUUCUAGUUUAUUCAGUAUAAAUUGUUCUUAAAGCUUUUAUGAUUCUGACCCAAUAUAAUUGAUUUUAGAGUAUAUAUGACUACUGACACUAGCGUUUAACUCUGACAUAUUUAUACUGUUCAAUCUAACGGACAAUCUAGGGAUGGAGCGUUGUUAGGUUGUGAUACUUGAAUUAACGGACUUAAAACCUUUGAUGACUAUAGGUUCACCUAAGGGAUUAGGGAAUUAUAAUCAGAAAAGAGGGCUUAUGAUCAAGGGAUUGACCUAAGCUAUUUUGUUAAUUUGUCGUAAACUUUAUAGCGUUCGUAAACGUAAGAAACAGGUUGCUAAUGAGCGAUGAGCAGAUGAAUCGAAUGACCUAGUCAUCACUCCAUAUUAUUUCUUAAACCAAUUUUUCCUUAACCAUUUUAUUUUAACUUGCAAAUCAAACCAAUUGCCUCAGUGCACCCCCCAUUUUACAAACAUCCUUAAUAAUAACGUUACUACCGAGUAGAAGUUGAAAC